rnacentral:lncRNA from 1 species
GAGUUCCCAUCAUGGCACAGUGGUUAACAAAUCCGACUAGGAACCAUGAGGUUGUGGGUUUGAACCCUAGUCUCGCUCAGUGGGUUAAGGAUCCGGCGUUGCUGUGAGCUGUGGUGUAGGCCAGCAGCUACAGCUCCAAUUCGACCCCUAGCCUGGGAACCUCCAUAUGCUGCGGGAGCAGAGAGUGCGGCCCUAAGAAGACAAAAAAAAAAAAAAAAAAAAAAGAUUUAUUGCAGUCCUAUGCGUGGAAAACAGGUGUCUCAUGCUCCAAAGAACCCUUAACUCCCUGAAGGGUGGGUUUCAGUCAAGCUUUUUAAAUUUUUUUGGUUGCACCUGAGGCAUUUGGAAGUUCCCAGACCAGGUAUCAAACCUAUGCCACAGCAGAGACCCAAACCACUGCAAUGGCAGUGCCAGGUCCUUAACCUGUUGUUCCACAAGGAAACUUCAGCCAAGUAUUGUUAAAGACGAGGUGAGGGAAGGGCAUGGUUGGUUGCCUUACACUUCUUGGUGCAGGAAUCCUCUUCUUGCCACAGUCCACGUAGAUCUGGGCGUGAUGUUCCCGUAAAUCUCCAAUAAGACAAGUGUUCUUCUCUGUUCUGCAGCUUUUUUAUCUCUAUAUGAAUGGAAACGUGUUCUACCGUUAAAGAUCAGAGCCUCGAGAAUGGGCUAUCCUGUAUAGCUCACGCUAUCGGGAACAUUUUUAACUUAAAGCAAAAGCAACAGAAUGCAGAGAUUAAAGUAGAAGAAACAGAUCCGAUACAGAGUCAGAUGUGUUCUUCCCAUUACACCUGCAACCACCAUUCCACUUUCUAUCUCUCUGAAUUUGACUUUUUAGGGACCUCAUAUAAGUGAAAUCUACGGUCCUUGUCCUUUUGUGACUGGCUUAUUUCACUGAGCAUAAUGUCCUCACGGUUCAUGCAUGCUGUAUUCUCAACAGUUCUUAAGGUAAAAAAAUGGUGUCAAGAUUGCUAAAAUGAUGAUGGAAGGACCGAGGGAGCAGGGCGAAGGCAAGGCUGGGAGAAAUUUGGUCAGAGGGUGAGGGCUUUUUCUAACCAACUAGAAGCAGCCCUAAGACUGUACCCCACCCCUACAGAGCACCCCUGAAGGCUCAUUGCUCCCCAGCCUCCUCGGAGAGCCUGCUGACACCUCUGGGUCUCCCUGCCUCCGUCUUUCUGAGUGUGUAUGACAGUGGGAUUCAACAUCUAUGCCAUGAGACAUAGGUGUUUGCCUAAGUAUUCGUUUUCUAUUGGUACUGUAAUAAAUGACCACACAGCUUGUGGCUUAAAGCAGCACACAUGUAUUCAUCUUACAUGUUCCAAGUUAAUGUCCAACGUGAGUCUCGACAGGCAACCAUUAAGGUAUCAGCAGGGCUAUACCCCUGUUACCAAGUCCAAGUUCACACUGUUCGCGGCCCCAUGACGGGCCAGUAAAUCAAGAGCAAAGCUGUUGGGGCCGGAGGAAUGGCUUCGUCUGUAAAGCCAGAAGACCAAGGAGACAGUGGUCUCGCGUCCCCAAAAAAUCAUCUUCCCCAAGUUAGAAUUCAGGCUUUCGGAGUUCCCGCUUUCUUCCUCCCUCCCCCAUCCCUCUCUCCCUCCCCCCCUUCCUCUAUUCAUUUAUUUAUCUAUUGCUGUGGCGUGCACUGGCUCGAUGUAGGAUCUGCGUUCCCACAGGGACUGAACCCACGCUGCAGCAGUAAAAGAGCCAGAUCCUAACUACCGACAGCCAGGGAAGUCCCCAGAGUUCCUGGGCCAGGAAUCAAAGCCGUGCCACAGCAGAGACCCUAGCCACAGCAGUGACAAUGCUAGAUCCGUAACCAACUGUGCCACAAGGGAACUCCAGCCAAGCAUUUUUAAAGGCAAGGGGAGGAGUUCCCACUGUGGCUCAGUGGUAAUAAACCUAAUGGGUACCCAUGAGGACUCAGGCUUGAUCCCCAGCCUCGCUUAGUGGGUUGGGGGAUCCAGCGUUGCUGUGAGCCGUGGUGUAGGUCACAGAGGCGGCUCGGAUCCUGCGUUGCUGUGGCUGUGGUGUAGGCCGGCCAUUGCAACUCUGAUUCCCUCUCUAGCCUGGGAACCUCCGUGUGCAGCAGGUGUGCCCCUAAAAAGCAAAAUAAGUAAAUAAACAAAGAAAGGCAAGGUGAGGGAGGGGCGUGGCUGGUUGUGGCACACUUCUUGGUGUAAGGAACCCUGGUUCUUGCAGCUGUCCGCAUAGGUCGGGUCAUGAUGUACCUGUUAACCUCCAACAAGAUAAAUGUCCUUCUCUGUUCUGCAGCUCUUUGUCUCUAUAUGAAUGGAAAAGUGUUAUACCUUUAUUUUCUUUUAAUUUUGUCUUUGUAGGGCCGCACCCACAGCAUAUGGAGGUUCCCAAGCUAGGGGUCAAAUUGGAGCUGUAGCCACCGGCCUACACCUCAGCCACAGCAACACCAGAUCCAAACCUCAUCUGCGACCUACCGCAGCUCAUGGCAACACCGGAACCUUAACCCACGGAGCGAGGUCAGGAAUGGAACCUGCAUGGUUCCUAGUUGGAUUCGGUUGUACUGCGCCACGAUGGGAACUCCAACUGUUAUAUCCUUAAAGAUCAGAGCCUUGGGAAUGGGCUGUGCUGUGUAGUUCAGGCCAUAGGCAACAUUCUGUUAGUGAUCAGCUUAUAGCAAAAGCAAGAGAAUACAGACGUUAAAGAACUGUACCUAAUACAGAGGGACAUUUAUUCUUCCCUGUUUCAUCAUCCUUCCUGGGGCUGGCUUUCCAGGGACUUGGAAGAGAAUCCAUGGAGAUCCCUUCUAACUGACAGAGCAUCCUAAACUCUGAGUCAGGAAUCAGCCUGGGAGAGGCUGCAGUGACUUUGACAACCAGAAGAUAAAUGAUGUGUUGAGCUGAGACAGGUCUUAUAACGUAUGAGGCCCACAAAGUUGAAACAAAGUGAUGCAUCAAAAACACUAAGCUUUGUUUGUUUGUUUGUUUGUUUGUUUGCAGCGUUUCCGGGGAACCACAGGUAUGGAAGCAACUUGCUGGCACUCUGUCUGACUGAACUUCAGACAGGUAGGUGCCUUGAUGGACCUGAAUGACUGAUCAUGACCUCUGUGUCCCAUCCACCCCAUGUUCGCCACCGACCACCACCCCUCCGUUUGCACGUGGCACCCACGAAGAGGCAUGAAAGGCAGUCAGACCUGCCUGAGCAGAAAACUCCUGACACUUAACAUUCACUUUCCCCCUCUUCGUGCUCCCUGCUUCCAUGAUAAAGCCCCCACUCCAAAGCUGAUGAGCAGAUCCCAUCUCCUGGCCUGGCUGCAAGAAGUCUCUUUGCCCUGCAAACCAUCUUUGCCUGGUAUGUGGUCUUUCCAUUGGGUAGCAGGCAGUGGGUCCACUUGCUUCGUUACACAGUGACCCUGAGGCGGAUGGAAACAUAAACCCCAAGCAAAGGUGUACCCCCCUCAGCCAGCCCACCCAGGGGGGCUCUCUGGCUCCCCACAGCAUCCCCUCCCCGCACCUGCCAGCUUUCCUGCCAGGAACGCUCCUCAUUCACCACACACUCCGGCACCUGCUCAAGGAGUCCCCUCCCACCAGGAAGCUUGCUUCUUUCCUCCCUUCUGACUCUUCCUAACUCCGAAGCAUCCCGCAAGGACCAGCGGAGGUGUCUCCUGCUCAAGGAAGCCUUUCUCAAUGUCUCCUUGCCCCCAUCCAAGGGUAGGUGUCGUGCUUUGAGGACGUGGUGUAACACAGAAGAGCAAACCUGGCUCCAUAUUGAAUCUGUUCCCUUAGCUCUGACUUCUCUGCUCUACUGCCUGUGCUUAGUCGUGCUGCCUCUGUACCUUUUGUAAAAGAAUGUUGCCCAUUUGAUCCCUGGCCCUGGCCCGAUGGGUUAAGGAUCUUGCAUUGCCCCAGCAGCAGCUUAUGUCAAAACUGUGGCUUGGAUCUGAUCCAUGGCCCCGGGAACUCCAUAUGCCUCAGGGCAACCAAAAAAGAAAAAAGAAAAAGAAAAAAAUAAAGAAUGUUGCCCAUAGCACAUUCUUCUUCUUCUUCUUUUUUCUUUUUUUCUUUUUAUGGCUGCACCUUCUAUGUUAGAGGAAACGAAAGCUGGGGAACAGAGAGGGACCUGCCUGGUGUCCCCAGCAUGUCAUCAGAAGAGCCAAGUUAAGUCCCAGGGUGCUGGGCCCUCAUCCUGUCCGCUCUGUCUCAGGGCCACCAAGACCGUACCCUGUCAGGGUUCUCCAGACAUUCUUGCUCAUCUCUCUUUAUCCCCAAGUUCUGCCCAAAAGGAUUCUUUUUUUUUUCUUUUUUGGCUGCCCCUUGGAACAUGGAACUCCUGGGCCAGGGAUCAGAUCUGAGCUGCAGUCACAAUCCAGGGGCACCUAUGGUAAUGCAGGAGCCUUACCCCACUCUGCUGGGCUGGGGAUCUGACCCUCGUGUCCCAGUGCUCCCCAGAUGCCACUGAUCCCAAUUUGCCCCAGCGGGAGCGCCACACCCUCUGCUUUUACCUCCACAGCCUUGCAUGGAAUAUGCCUUUUUAUGCAUCCCCUUCUCCCACUUGUCUACGAGGUGAACUCCUACUUAUCCUUCAAGGUCCAUUCAAGUGUUUCCUUCCCUCGAAUGAAGUCUAAGCUCAGUUUAUCCAAAAGCUAUUCAUCGCUCCCUCCUCUGUGCUCUUAGGACACUCUCUCUAUGUAUAUACUGAUUUUAACACAUACUUCCUUCUUCCAUAAGUGUCUUAGCCCUCACUAGACUGUAUUUGUCUCUAGGACAGGAAUUAUUUCUGCCCCAUCUCUCUGUUCCUAGGGCCUUUCAAGGUGUCUGGCCCUCACGUGACACUCAAUAAUGUUGGCCAAACAGUGGAACAAAUAAAGGAAUCUGAGGCAGAUGUUUUUUAAGGGCCGCACCUGCAGCAUAUGGAGGUUCCCAGACCGGGGGUCAAACCAGAGCUGUUGUUGCCGGCCUACCCACAGCCACAGUAACACCUGGAGUUCCCGUCGUGGCGCAGUGGUUGACGAAUCUGACUGGGAACCAUGAGGUUGCGGGUUCGGUCCCUGCCCUUGCUCAGUGGGUUAACAAUCCGGCGAUGCCCUGAGCUGUGGUGUAGGUUGCAGAUGCGGCUCGGAUCCCGCGUUGCUGUGGCUCUGGUGUAGGCCAGCGGCUACAGCUCUGAUUGGACCCCUGGCCUGGGAACCUCCAUAUGCCGCGGAAGCGGCCCAAAGAAAUAGCAAAAAGACAAAAAAACAAAACAAAACAAAACAAAACAAAACAAAAACCCACCAGAUCCAAGCCUGUCUAUGACCUACACCACAACUCACGGCAACUCUGGAUCCUUAACCCACUGAGCCAGGCCGGGGAUCGAACCUGUGUCCUCAUGGAUACUAGUCAGAUUUGUUUCCGCUGAGCCACCACGGGAACUCUGAGGCAAAUUUUUAACCUCUCAGCGUCUUAGCUUAUUAUCCUUGAAAUGAAAAAGGGCGGGGGGAAUCUGACACUCGGCAAGGAUGAAUGAUGGAUGAUGAAUGGAAAGCUAAUGGCACCAUCACUGACUCAGUUGCCAGAGUCAAAAAUAGGGAAUUGCCCCCAAUUCCCACUUCUCGCUUUCUCUUUUUCCCUUGCACUCGGUCACCAGGGCUUGUUGAACCUGGCUGAGGAUCUUGGUAAGAAACUCUUAGGAAGGAUGGAGGAAAGGCUCCCAGACUUAGGGAUCCUCUAUGGAAAAGAAGCAGAGGGAGAGACUGGGGGACGUGGGAGGAGCAGACAAGGGAUCUAGGAGAAGGGGGAGGUCAGGCCUGGUUCUGGGACAUAGAAAUAGCUCAGUCUUGGAGUUCCCAUCGUGGCUCAGUGGUUAACGAAUCCGACUAGGAACCAUGAGGUUGUGGGUUCAAUCCCUGGCCUUGCUCAGUGGGUUAAGGAUCCGGCAUUGCCGUGAGCCAUGGUGUAGGUCAAAGAUAGGGCUUGGGAUCCCGUGUGGCUGUGGCUGUGGCUGUGGUGUAGGCCAGUGACUACAGCUCUGAUUCAACCCCUAGCCUGGGAACCUCCACGUGCCGUGGGUGUGGCCC